rnacentral:rRNA from 1 species
AACGAACGCUGGCGGCAGGCCUAACACAUGCAAGUCGAACGCCCUAGCAAUAGGGAGUGGCGCACGGGUGCGUAACGCGUGGGAAUAUGCCCUUCACUGCGGAAUAACGUUUGGAAACGAACGCUAAUACCGCAUAAUGACUCCGGUCCAAAGAUUUAUCGGUGAAGGAUUAGCCCGCGUUAGAUUAGCUAGUUGGUGAGGUAAUGGCUCACCAAGGCGACGAUCUAUAGCUGGUCUGAGAGGAUGAUCAGCCACACUGGGACUGAGACACGGCCCAGACUCCUACGGGAGGCAGCAGUGAGGAAUAUUGGACAAUGGGCGCAAGCCUGAUCCAGCCAUGCCGCGUGAGUGAAGAAGGCCUUCGGUUGUAAAGCUCUUUCUAGAUGUGAAGAUAAUGACGGUAGCAUCAGAAGAAGACCCCGGCCUAAAUUACGUGCCAGCAGCCGCGGUAA